rnacentral:rRNA from 1 species
UACGUAGGGUGCAAGCGUUGUCCGGAAUUAUUGGGCGUAAAGAGCUCGUAGGCGGUCUGUCGCGUCGGCUGUGAAAACCCGAGGCUCAACCUCGGGCCUGCAGUCGAUACGGGCAAACUAGAGUACUGCAGGGGAGACUGGAAUUCCUGGUGUAGCGGUGAAAUGCGCAGAUAUCAGGAGGAACACCGGUGGCGAAGGCGGGUCUCUGGGCAGUAACUGACGCUGGAGGAGCGAAAGCGUGGGGGAGCAAACAGG